rnacentral:rRNA from 1 species
UGCCCCGCCACAUGGCGGGGAGAAUAAGCACCUGCUAACUACGUGCCAGCAGCCGCGGUAAUACGUAGGGUGCAAGCGUUAUCCGGAUUUAUUGGGCGUAAAGAGUUCGUAGGCGUCUUGACGCAUCUUGCUUCAAAUUCCGAGGCUCAACCUCGGGCAGGGGUGAGAGAUGGUCAGGAUUUGAGUUUGCUAGGGGGUACUGGAACUUGUGGUGUAGCAGUGAAAUGCGUUGAUAUCAC